AAAUUAUAGAGAGUUUGAUCCUGGCUCAGGAUGAACGCUGGCGGUAUGCUUUACACAUGCAAGUCGAACGCAAGUCUAACUUGAGUGGCGGACGGGUGAGUAACACGUGAGAAUUCACCUUUAGGCGGGGAAUAACUAUUGGAAACGAUAGCUAAUGCCCCAUAUGCUCAUAUGAGUGAAAAGAAUUUUUCUACCUGAAGAGAAGCUCGCGGCUGAUUAGCUAGUUGGUAAGGUAAUGGCUUACCAAGGCGACGAUCAGUAGCUGGUUUGAGAGAAUGAUCAGCCACACUGGAACUGAGACACGGUCCAGACUCCUACGGGAGGCAGCAGUGGGGAAUUUUCCGCAAUGGGCGAAAGCCUGACGGAGCAAUACCGCGUGAGGGAGAAAGGCUUUCGGGUUGUAAACCUCUUUUAUCAAGGAAGAAAUUUUGACGUGUACUUGAUGAAUAAGCAUCGGCUAACUCCGUGCCAGCAGCCGCGGUAAGAC
rnacentral:rRNA from 1 species